rnacentral:rRNA from 1 species
UACGUAGGUGGCGAGCGUUAUCCGGAAUUAUUGGGCGUAAAGAGCGCGCAGGUGGUUGAUUAAGUCUGAUGUGAAAGCCCACGGCUUAACCGUGGAGGGUCAUUGGAAACUGGUCGACUUGAGUGCAGAAGAGGGAAGUGGAAUUCCAUGUGUAGCGGUGAAAUGCGUAGAGAUAUGGAGGAACACCAGUGGCGAAGGCGGCUUCCUGGUCUGUAACUGACGCUGAGGCUCGAAAGCGUGGGGAGCAAACAGGAUUAGAUACU